GGGAAGGUAGCUUAACUGGUUAGAGUGUUGGUUUGUCAAGCCAAAAGAUAUGGGUUCAACUCCCUUUCUUCCCG
rnacentral:tRNA from 1 species